UAUACUUGGGUGAGCUUGUAAUAUACCGAACUUCUAAAGUUAUGAAGUUACGGAGUAAGUUAGUUUGGAAAGCCGUUAGAAUAGUUCCGGUGAAGUUCGGGAGCAUUCGGGUGUGUUCGGUGCGCGUUAGGUGCGAAAACAGAAACCGAAAGGCUAUGUUGGACCGUGGAUUAAAUCCGGCAUAAGCGUGGAUGAAAAGAUGGUUUAAACGCGCUCGAAAACAUGUAUUGGGGGUCUCUGUACGAUUAGAGAUGAAUUGGAGGCCCUACGAGUAAAAACGAGCGAAAAUGGACCAAAAGUUGAAAAAGGAUGAAAUUUG
rnacentral:lncRNA from 1 species